rnacentral:rRNA from 1 species
UACAGAGGGGGCAAGCGUUGUUCGGAAUUACUGGGCGUAAAGGGCGCGUAGGCGGCCUGUUAAGUCGAACGUGAAAUCCCCGGGCUCAACCCGGGAACUGCGUCCGAUACUGGCAGGCUUGAAUCCGGGAGAGGGAUGCGGAAUUCCAGGUGUAGCGGUGAAAUGCGUAGAUAUCAGGAGGAACACCGGUGGCGAAAGCGGCUUCCUGGCCCGACAUUGACGCUCAUGUACGAAAGCGUGGGGAGCAAACAGG